UAUUGUGACAACAUCAUGGAAAAGGUGUAUUGUGCUAGCUUUGCAUUGGUCAAACUGUCUUGUUUUGACAUUUCUUUGCUCAACAGAGUUGGCCUUGUUGAAUUGUUUUUACUAACCGUUCCACAGCUGCUCAUGAUAUUAUUUUCAUAUGCACAAAUACUCAGAAUCUGCCUGACUGCUUCUAAGGAAUCUCAGGCCAAAGCUAUUCAAACAUGCACCCCACACUUACUGGCUGUGAUUAACUAUACAGUAGGAUGCUUUUUUGAAAUUAUUUCAACUCGUUUCAACAUGAGUCAUGUACCACAUAAAGCUCGUAUAUUCCUGGCCCUUUACUUUCUGAUAUUUCCCCCAGUGCUUAAUUCUGUAAUUUAUGGAAUUAGCAUUCAAGCCAUCAGAGUUCAGGUUUUCAAACUGUUCAUUACUUGUAAAAAUAAGUUAUUUACACUGUAGGAGACAAGGAGGUAGUCUACUGUUUGUUCAAUGCAUUUACACAUUUUUAAGCCAAUUACCUACAUGACAUGACAUGUAAUACCAUUGGUGAUAGGCUCAAUUAAAGGUCAUGACACUGGUUGCUUUUGCUGCAGGACAGGAAAGCUGUUAUUAUUUCUACCUCUAGAAUUCAAGCCCUUUUCCCAAUUACAUUUUAGUAUUCACGAAAUACACUCAUUCAGAGUGACAUACACCAAUUACAUGAAAAGAGG